rnacentral:rRNA from 1 species
UAGGGAAUCUUCGGCAAUGGGGGCAACCCUGACCGAGCAACGCCGCGUGAGUGAAGAAGGUUUUCGGAUCGUAAAGCUCUGUUGUAAGAGAAGAACGUGUGUGAGAGUGGAAAGUUCACACAGUGACGGUAACUUACCAGAAAGUCACGGCUAACUACGUGCCAG